UACGUAGGGUGCGAGCGUUAAUCGGAAUUACUGGGCGUAAAGCGUGCGCAGGCGGUUCGUUGUGUCGGCGGUGAAAGCCCCGGGCUUGACCUGGGAAUGGCCGUUGAAACUGGCGAACUGGAGUGUGGCAGAGGGGGGUGGAAUUCCGCGUGUAGCAGUGAAAUGCGUAGAGAUGCGGAGGAACACCGAUGGCGAAGGCAGCCCCCUGGGCUGACACUGACGCUCAGGCACGAAAGCGUGGGGAGCAAACAGG
rnacentral:rRNA from 1 species